CACGUAGGGUGCGAGCGUUGUCCGGAAUUAUUGGGCGUAAAGAGCUCGUAGGCGGUGUGUCGCGUCGGCCGUGAAAACCUGCAGCUUAACUGUGGGCUUGCGGUCGAUACGGGCAUCACUGGAGUUCGGCAGGGGAGACUGGAAUUCCUGGUGUAGCGGUGAAAUGCGCAGAUAUCAGGAGGAACACCGAUGGCGAAGGCAGCUCGCUGGGACGAUACUGACGCUGAGGCGCGAAAGCGUGGGGAGCAAACAGG
rnacentral:rRNA from 1 species